rfam:Aedes albopictus isolate Foshan contig134934, whole genome shotgun sequence.
UAGCCUAGUGGUUAAGGCUAUAGAUUGCCAAUCCGGAGACGGCGGGUUCGAUUCCCGU